rnacentral:rRNA from 2 species
CAUUUGCCUUUUGUGAUACGCUUUCAAAGAGUCAGGUUGUUUGGGAAUGCAGCCUAAAUUGGGUGGUAAAUCUCACCUAAAGCUAAAUAUUGGCGAGAAACCGAUAGCGAACAAGUACCGUGAGGGAAAGAUGAAAAGAACUUUGAAAAGAGAGUUAAACAGUAUGUGAAAUUGUUAAAAGGGAACCGUUUGGAGCCAGACUGGCUUGUCUGUAAUCAAUCUAGGCUUCGGCCUGGAUGCACUUGCAGGCUAUGCCUGCCAACGACAAUUUGACUUGAGGGAAAAAACUAGGGGAAAUGUGGCCCACUUGUGGGUGUUAUAGUCCCUUAGAAAAUACCUUGGGUUGGAUUGAGGAACGCAGCGAAUGCUUAUUGGCGAGUUUUCCAGGAAGGUUUUCUGAGGUACUACGGUAUCAAGGUUGAUCUUUU